rnacentral:rRNA from 1 species
UGGGGAAUAUUGGACAAUGGAGGCAACUCUGAUCCAGCAAUGCCGCGUGUGUGAUGAAGGCCCUAGGGUUGUAAAGCACUUUCAACGGUGAAGAUGAUGACGGUAGCCGUAGAAGAAGCCCCGGCUAACUUCGUGCCAGCAGCCGCGGUAAUACGAAGGGGGCGAGCGUUAUUCGGAAUUAUUGGGCGUAAAGGGCUCGCAGGCUGCUUGAACAGUUAGACGUGAAAUCCCCGGGCUUAACCUGGGAACUGCGUUUAAUACUAGCAAGCUAGAGAAAUAGAGAGGAAAGUGGAACUCCCAGUGUAGAGGUGAAAUUCGUAGAUAUUGGGAAGAACACCAGUGGCGAAAGC